GACGUCACGACCCAGCCAGCUGAUCGGAGUGAGAAGCCGGUUUGAAGAGAGGAGUUUGAUCGGAGAGAGAGACCGGGGAGGGAGCCCCGAGGAGCAUCGAGCAGCACAGGCGGAGGAGACAUUUAAAGGCCGCAACAGAAGGCGUGCUGCGGUGUCAUAUCCAAGGGUCUUCGGGCUCCUACAGUAGAUCUACAUGUCCCUUCAUCAACUUUAGAUCACGGCAUCAGGAUCCACUUGGAGGACUCCAGAGGAGUUAAUGGUUGGAGAUCAAGUCUUCUUCAUCAGGCCAAUGCAGACAUAAAGAUUUGAGGUGAGUAGAGGACUGUGUCUGUAUUGUGUUAUCAGUAUUCUAACUACACUCGCCAUCUUCUAUUGUUGCCAUGAUAUCUUCCUGCAUGCGUCAUACUGAGGAAAAAUGUUCCUGAUUGAUGCAAAUUAAUGUGCAGCAUUAGAUUUUAUUAUUCUUUUCUGCCAUCAUUUCGAAAUGUAUGUUUUAGUUUGGUAAAAACAAGGAAACCUUUUGAUUGCUAUUUUUUUUUCGUUUUAUCCAGAUUUUAUAGACUAAAAGGUUUAAAGCAUUUAAAAAUAAUUGACAGACUAAUAAAAAAGGAGUCGUCAGUCUAUGGCCAUAUUUCUUUAUUCUACUAAUGUAGGUGUGUCUCGUUUUCUCAUACUAACAAAAAAAAAACAGCAGGAUAAAAAAAAGUAUUAUCUGUAGUAUUCUACCCUUUAUUCAGUCAUUAAAGCUGUUUGCUAUUAACAAUGCGUUGUAUCUAAUGUAAUACAGGAUACAUAACAGGGCGUGGGUUCCGUGGAUGAAAUGUGGUCACAGUGUUCUUCCAGCUCACUAACUCGGGGUGAAUGUCUCGUCUCUGUUAGCUUAGCACACUGUGCUCUCAGGCCAUCUGGGUACAGCUGGGGCCGGAGCGGCAGGAAACACACUCACUCACAGAUACACACACUUAGACAAACAUUCCUCUUUAGUCUAAUAUAAAUAACCCAGCCAUGUCCCCUACACACACACACACACACCCUGUUCAAUGGAGUGUGACGAGCCUGUGUUUGAAUGGCAGUUGACCUCCACCUGCCACGUUUUUUCUAUUGACCGACCAAAAUGUCAUCAGCUGAUCAUUUCAUCUUUGCGUCAUUGCAAUAGACGUCCUCCUCAAUCUAAUUAGAAUUAUCUCAUUAGCUCAUAGAUGCGCCAUGUGACAUGUUACAUCCCACGAAUCGCACGCAAGCUUGUGACCGACAUCGUCUCUAAAUCUGACCACGCAACUUGGCACUUGGCAUGUAGUCAACCAGUGGGUUCAUAUGAACAGUUUGUGGAGAAAAUGAAUUUAAUUGGUCUAUGGCGUGUUUCGACCCCGCCGACUUUUUUUUCCUCCUUGGGAGGAUGAAGGGAUAAUUCUGAGGAAUUUCAAUGAAGAAACGCAGAAAUACUCUACAGUUUGUACCACGCAUUGGCAGCUGCCACUUCUUAUUCAUUUGCCCUAAAGGCACUUCCUGUCUCUCAGUACCCUAGCUACACUGCUCGUUAGAGGGGGAGCGUGACAAAGGACAUCCCAUAUACAGAAGGAGAGUGCGCGAGGAAGGGAGGUAGGGAGGGAGGGAGGAGGAAUUUUCAGCAGCAUUUAGCCAGAGCAAGACAUGGACCCAAACAAAUGUAUGAAGAGAGAAACAAUGGUCUCUUUGACACACUUUGUCCCAGUGGUAGGAAGGGAGAUGACAGCCAGAGGAAGCACACAAAUCUUUUCUUUAUGUUGGUCAUCUUUACCCAGUGUUCACACCCCUACUUCCAUCCCCCCGCUUCCAUAUCUCACUGUCUCCCGCCCCCCCUCCCCCUCCCCUGGGCUCAGUGAUAUUUUCCAAGGGAAAAUGUCUUCUCUCUCUCUCUCUCUCCCUCUCUCUGUAUAUGUUUAUGUGUGCCUGCAUAGAAAAUUGGACACUUGUGUCCUUCACGGGGAGCCUGUAUCACACGCACACGCCCGUUGUUUGAGAAUCAUGCCGCGUCAUUGUCUCACCUGUGUGGUUUUUGAACUCCAGAAGCAAGUUUUUUCUAAUUUUCACUUCCUGAAUAUCAAUGAGACAGACAACACACACCUUCAUUCCCAAACACACGCGCACACACUAUACUAUUGCCGUGCUUUCCUGGCUCCAGAUGCUCUGUUAAAAAUCCAGUUCAAUGCUUGGCAAGACAUUACUUGGAGGGCCAUUCCUGUUCCUCGAUCCCACCUGCUGACUUUCUGUUCCAGUCCCUUAACUUCCUGAAACCAAUACCAGCAUGAACCGCCCUGCAGAAUCGCCCAUUUCAGGGUUGCCGCAUGGAAUGUUUAUUUUUGACUAUAGCAUCUUUUUCUAGGCGUUCCUCUGCUUCACCCGUAACCCUCCAUCUUAUUCCCCAAGUGUUAAGAAAACCUCAUUAGAGCACUUUAGGAUUACUGUACUUGUCCUACCAAGUGAACAGCUGAACAAGACCAAACCUCCUUUGAGGAACACGUCCUACGGCAAUUUAUUCUGCCACUUCCAACUGUAACCGGCUUCAAUUUUGAAUUGUUAAUUCAUACCCGGACAAAUAGAGAUUAUACAAUAUAUGCAGAGGGCGAAUGCAUAUGUGCAGUAACACACACGUGGCGUGAAUUAGUGAACUUGAUCUUUUAUUAAACAGGGUGUGGCCUUUUUUUAUACACGCAUCUCCCCGUGCAUGCAUACGUUUCCUCGCUCAUAUACAUUUCCCGAGGCAUACCCUCCCACUCUUACAAUGACCACUUCCAGCUUGCCUCUCCCAUUGUGGUUAUUUUGUGAAGAGAGCAGUGUGACUGAUGAACCCACUGUGAGCGAUAGUGUUAACGUGCCUCUCCGACACUCCAGCAAUGUUACCUCAUGUGUUUGUGCGUUGUGUCUCUUGAAAUGCACGGCCCCGUUCCUCUCCCUAAUCCCAUUCAAGGCUGUAGGAGGAAAGCACUGACAGAUAUAUUGAUCCGCUCCUGACUUGAAAGCAAUUUGUCCCGGCUUGGGUGAAGGGUUAUCGGGGUUGGGUGUGCACUCAGGAUCUAGUGCAGAACAACUGAGAUUUGGACAAUUGCACAUAAAUGAAGAACCAAUCAGACUUUUUACCUUUAAAUGAGUUAGUUAUCCGAACCAAUGUGGCCCCUUCCUCAGUUAUUCAUUCAUAGAAUCGGUCUUUACAGGUAAAGUAGAGAUGGAGAACCUAAUAAAGGAUCCAUUGCCAACAAUGCGGGUCAAAUGUGUUCUAUUACUGCAAUACCUAAACAGAGGAAAGAGUAACGCUGCGUUUGAAACAAAUAAAUAUUGAUAGAUUAGACACAUUAGAUCUGUAAUAAUGCCGCUAUCAUCCCCAAUACACAACAAGCAUCCAAGAUAAUCCUGCCCAUAUAGAUACUGUGGCAUCAUAACAACAUUUAGAACAUGCAAGUUUAAUCUGAGUAUGGCGGUUUAGUAGCCAUGUUAGCUUUUAACUGUUUGCUCUUGCUGCAGGGGAAUUCACUAACCCCAACCCACCCCACUGGAAUCAUACAAAUCUCAUAAUACAGGCCGUACUGGGGGGGGCAGGAUAAGAAAUGGCAUUCCUAGAGUUAUUCAUGGGGCUUCCCAUUCUUUUGCGUGUGCCAAGUCAUUCACUGCACGGCCCGCUGGGAUAUAUUGUUGUUGGCCAACAUUCACAGAGUUGAUCUGUUCUCCAUGCUCUGUGUUAUCAUAGUUCGACAUCAGUCCAAUUUACUGCGAAAUAUAACCACUUUAACCUCAGUGACAGCCGUGCCCCAAAACGAGUUCGGUUCCAUUGGAAACCAGUGAGGGUGUUUCCCAUACCCCAGUGAGAGCACUGUCUGUGAAGUCAAGUCACUCUCUUUAUGAGGGUGUGUUGAUACUUGGCUGUUUUGCAAUGCGUCAGCAGCUUGUAGUUUAUUUUUAAAGGUCUCGCAGUGACUUUGGUUCCAGUUUUACUUUAGUCAAACCUCACUUAAAUUGUUGCAUUCGCCCUCUUCCCCCAUCACCACUCAACACACAUUUUGGCCCAGCUUUUAUACAAUUACAAGUGUGUCCCAGGGCUUUGUCUUUUGCAUUUAGAGUCUAAAUAGAUAUAUAGUCCAUGUUUCUCGUAAGCAGACCAAAGAACUGAAAUACACAAAUACGGGUGUUUGCUUAUUUGUGUGUGCACAUUUUCUGCCUGUUGCUUAGGGUGGCUGCAUUUGUCCUGGGAAUCGCCAGGUCUGUGUAAUGAAUCACUCCUCUGGUACACUGUGUUCUCCACUGUGUGCGUGUAUUUUGCCUGCUCAACAUGUCGUGAGUAGAGAAAGAACAUAGUUAAGAAGUAAUCGGGGCUAAAAAAUCAUAUUAAGAAAGGGAAGAAUACUUCUACUGUAGCUCUCUCUGUUACGACAGGCACUGAAAACAGGUCCAACUUCAUUAUGUGUGGUAUCCGAAAGAACAAACAAUGUGCGCAAUUAGUCGAUGACGGGGAUGUCAGUUUCCUUCCUUAAAUUUACCCUUCAGCCUUGCAUGUCCAGCCAGUAUUGAGGAAAAAAAAGGAGCAUUUCAUGUUCCAGAGGAAGGUACGGUGGCAGCAUGUGAAAAUGAGCGUAGAUUGCUGCUGAUGCUAACUAUUAACUCUGGAUAUAUAAAGAAAUAUAUUGAUAACGACUAAAGUUGUCAAAAUGUUAUUUUUCCAUC